CCGCCUUGCUCUCCCUCCUAUCAGUCUCCUCCAACGCCUCCACACAUCCACCUUCCCGUAGAGCGAAUCAAUCCCCGCCCUGGAUCCCACCUUCCUCCAGGAGGUCAUCGACUCUCUCACGGGCAAGUACAACUGGGACCCCGACGCCCAGGUCCGAGUCUGGCCGCUCGACGCCGAUGGCGCGCUACGAGUUCCGCGCCCGGGCGUGCGACUCGGUGGGAGUGGCGCGGGUCUCCGACAAAACCGUCGAGUGAUCCCGCCCAGGCGAGCCGGCCAUGUAGGAGGUUUCUGGACGACGCCGCGUCGCCACCCUGGGGUUCGGCUCGGGCGUGAGGGACCUGGACCUCGUGGGGCUGUUCGAGGUGGCGGUUGCUGACGGGGACCUCGGAGAGCUCCAGUUGACAUCGGUGAGUGCGGUUGACUUUUACACCUACAGCUUUGCGUCUCUCUCCAUCCCCGCUGCUUCGUUUGGUCUGUCGCCGACGCCAUGGAUGAGAGGGCGACGGCCUCCAGUUGCUCGCGGCCCUCCUCACCAAGUACGCUCAACCUCGCUCCAUGAAUCCCACGGCUCCUCUCCUCCAGGUGCGUCUGUCCGCUUCCAAGCUUGCGGCCGCCGCCCCGGUGGUCACUGCUCUGCCCAUCGUUACCGUGCAUUGACGCUUCUAUGGCGUCGCUCCGGCAUCUCCUCACCUCGGUGCUCUAUGCCUCCGAUCCGACGAAUUUUUGGUCUUCGCUUCCAUGCGCUCCCUAAUCGUAUCUCUAGGGAUCCAGCCGCAAAAGCGGACGAUGGAUAUAAGAUCGUCGAGGCGAUGUAUCAGUAUCACGCGAGUUUGCACAAGAGGCAGCCGGAUCAAUCAUUUGCUGCAGGGUGUUUGCUUUCAACAGGAGAGGCCAAGUUACGAAGUGCCGACGCAAUGACAGCAUCCUCCGCCUCCGCUUAUGCUUUGGGUUGUGGGGAGAUCCACUCAUCCAGGAUUUUUUUUUUUUUUUGAGAGGUCACUCAUCCAGGAUUUAGCGACCAAUUGGCAGCAGCAGUCUCGCUAAUCUCUUUCACGAUUGAUUAACCAAUCAUUGCUUCAAUAAUUAGUGGCCUCUCGACCAAACAGAAAGCUGGUUCCCGGUAUGUGCUCUGUCUCUCUCCAGUCUCCUAUUAUCACGAAUGAGUUCGUCGAGAAAAAUCCAGCCUUCUGUUUUAAAUUACAUUCCAACGCACCUGUAUAUACAUGCCUAAACCAAUGGUUUAUCAAUAAUGUUUAGUUGUUUCCUCAUAUUAAUUGAAAUCUUUUUCUAUGCAAGUCACGUUGGUAUCAUCUCAAAGCCCAGUAUUCAUGAUAUACACUAAAAUCUGAUAUUCUCAUAUUUUGUUAAGUAUAAAGAAUUAGAGGGCAGACCACAUAGGUAAUCCAUUAUUUGGUUGUGCAGCUCACACUUUCCUAGACUCCACUAUAUAGAAGGUAAAAUUUAUAAUCUAUGUUCUGGAUUUGAAUCUAAAUUGCAUAUGCAAACAUUGUUUUCCCCUUUGUGCUAUGGAUGCUUAUGCCGCUUACUAAUUUCAUCUCCUAUUAGAUCCCCGAUGUUCGAGUUGAGUGGUAAUUUUUCGUGUAUGCAAAACCUUCUGUCAGGCAAAGAUUCAGCACAAAGAAAGAAGACAGCCACGGUAAGGAUAGCAAGAAUUUCGGAUCCAAUACUGUGUAACCUUCCCUUUUGUUCGUAGUUGUUGCUCUAGAUUUUGGGCCAUUGUUGAAGCAAUCUUCUGAUGUGUUGAACUAAUAGGUGUCCAUUUGUCUCUGGAUUAAUAGGCAUUGCUCCAUGGCCACAUAAAUAGGGUGAAGACCAUAACGCAUACAGCUUGGGAAAACAAACCUCUUGGUGGAGAAAAUCUAUUAACAUAAUUCAGAAAGAUGGGAUUCCAUGUCAAAUAAAUCAAUAGCUUAAUCAUUUGCUUAUUUUUGGAUGUGUUUUCUACUCAGAUUUGAUAUAUAGGACAAAUUUGUUUUACAUAACCGGCUUUGUCUCAUCGACCUCUUCUAGCCGCUGAGGAUAUACUAAUGUGUUCUGCACAGAUAAUAGCUGUUGACGAAUUUGUUUUACUCUAGAUAAUAAAUUUUCAUGUGAAAGAGGUGCCUUUUAACCACCAAAACUGAAUUGCUAAUGAUUUGUUUCUCAGAUUUGCAUCUUUGAUUUUCAUAUAUCUGUGCUGCUAAAGCCUUGCUAUUUAAUUUGCAUCUUAGAUGUUCAUGUCUAAAAGAGAAUCAGAAGUUACUCAGGUUUGAGGCCAUCAUAUAGCAUGCUUGGAAGUGAGUUUUUAUUUUCCCUACUCUACAUUUGUUUUGAUAUGUUUGAUAUUCUUUAUUCUAGCUUUAUGUUUGGUUGUAAAUCUAAUUUUCCUCACGUGUUAGAUUUUUUUGAGGAUGCAUCUAUCACUCUGUAUACCUCUCUCGAUGCCUACUAACCCGCUGCAUUAUUAUUUUUGUAGUUCUUUUGAAAUAGGGUAAACUUCUACUUAUUGGUCCAAUGAUUGGGGCAUCUUUCUAAACUAGCCAGUUUGUUUCUUUGUUUUAUUCACUUCUGUAAUUUUGAUUAGCGGUAUCCAUGAAGCUGUUGAGUAUAAAGGGAUCAAAAUUUUGGGACGACAUCCACGACUGUAAAUUUGAAGUCCGGGAGAGUACCUUCUGGAUACAUACUGCAGGAUAACAACCAAGCAGGUGCAGCUCAUGGCGAGCUGUCAGAAGAAAUGGCACACAUCAGCUGCGCCACUUACGAUUGAUCAAGUCGGCCCAAUCCAUUACUCUGAAGAUGAAGAUGACGAACAUGACGCUGAUGCUUACCAAGACCAGGAAAAUUUUCUUUGCGUGUCAUACCGUUGUCCUCCUCUAGGCCUCAGCUCGACAAUUGUGCGUUGUGUUCUGCACAAAUCCAUCGAUUGAAAUGUACAGCUUCUUAUGUUUCCUAACAUGGUGAACUUUGCAAUCAAGUCUGAGAAGUGGUGAUUGCAAUGUAUGGCUUCUUAAGUAUCUUAACAUGGUGAACUGUGCAAUCUAAUAAGCGUGGAAAGUGUUGUGUGAUAUAUGGAUGGCGGAUAGUUCGGUUUA